rnacentral:rRNA from 1 species
UACGUAGGGUGCAAGCGUUAAUCGGAAUUACUGGGCGUAAAGCGUGCGCAGGCGGUUCGUUGUGUCGGCGGUGAAAGCCCCGGGCUCAACCUGGGAAUGGCCGUUGAAACUGGCGAACUGGAGUGUGGCAGAGGGGGGUGGAAUUCCGCGUGUAGCAGUGAAAUGCGUAGAGAUGCGGAGGAACACCGAUGGCGAAGGCAGCCCCCUGGGCUGACACUGACGCCUCAGGCACGAAAGCGUGGGGAGCAAACAGG